CUGCGCACUCAAAUGGCAGAUGAAAUAUAGUGUACAUAAUGUGAAGUUAUGCACUUCGGGGUCAAGAAUGCACAAGCAACUUACACACUAAAUGGUAGGGAAUUAGGGAUAACCACACACUAGAAGGAUUUGGGAAUUUUUAUAGACGACAAAUUAGGCAGCAAUAUGCAAUGUCAGUCUGCAGUUGAUAAGCAAUAGUAGACAAUUUACCAUUUGCAAUAGUAGACAACCCAAGGUAUUGCAAAUGGGGUAUGUCCAGUCUUUUUUAGUAGCCACUUAGUCACAAAAUU